UGGAGUGGUGUGAAGUGCAGUGAAGUGCAGUGGAGUGCAGUGGAGGGGCGCCCGGAUGGAGAGAGGUCAGGCUGAAACGGGUGAAGGCCAGGAGUGGCUGCUUUCCUCGGAAAAGCUCUUCAGUGAAUUUUUCGGUAAAGAGAGUCAUGCGGAAGAGCAAACGGACUCCCCCCGGUUCAGACUCCGCUAAAUCAGAACAUGGUAAACUCAUGAAAUUAUUCUCAGCUUCAGGCUCCUCAUCUGUAAAAUCUCCUGUGGACACACGCACAUUCAGAAUGAACCUUCACUCCGGCUGCAGGACAAGAGAAAUUCAACGGCGUUAGCUGAACUGGAAGAUUCAGCUUUUUUUUUUUUUUUUUUAAACAGGGAAAAGUUAAGACAGGUCAAACAAACUCUUAGGGAUAAAGAUAUAAAUCCAGCACAGCAUUAUGUCCUGAUACAGGCCAUAUUUCCCACUUAGGACUCUAGUUCUAGCAAGCCUUGUGGAGAACAGACACUCAGGGCACUGAUCAGUAAACGCUCAACACCUUCUGUGGAGCCCGUAUCGCUUCACCUUCCACUCACACCAGCACGCCUGGUGAAAUGCUGACUAUUAACACUAUUACUGCACCUGGUGACCAGAAGCUCCAGCAAUGCAGUAGCUCAUUUACCCAAAGAACAACGGCAGGUACCAUCUCAGGAAAAGUAACAGCUCUUAACAUUUGACAAGAAGAUGUAAUAAUAUCUUUUCAAUUCCAUCUUGAAAUUGAUUCCAGAACCUUCAGUGUGUUUACCAGCAGACAAAGCAGUGUAGGGGUGUGAAAAAGAUACACUGAAAAUACACACACAUUUUUUUCAGUCCCUUUUUAUGUUCUCUACUUCCUUUCUCCAUGUCUCCGACAGAGGAGGUUCAAGUGCUUCCUUCUAGACACGAACUCUUGCUGAAGCUUGGCUCUUCCUGCAAAUGAUGUCCAGCCCGGGGAUGGCAGCAGGGAGGGUCGGUGCAGGACACAACCAAAUGAGCAUGUGGCCUGUGUGCCAGGACCUACCGGGCCCUGGGCUGCUCCCGGAGCUCCAGCCUCACAGAGGCAGCCUGGGGAUCACGGCCACAGAGCAACACAGGUACCAUGUCACAUGCCAGAAACCACGAUAUCAGGACUGUGUGCAUGUACACGUGUGUCCAAUCUCUGGGGAGGUGAGACAGAGAGAAACCAGUGCGAGAGCGCUCCGGCCCCUCCCGCAAGCUACCAGCCUCCUCGAACUUGUCACAUACCCACCGCUCCACUCUCUAAGAUUCGAAUUAGUUACCUGGUAUUGGUAUUAACCUACUUUGUGUUCCAGCCUCCACCUCACCUGCCUAUCAACUCAAAAAGAAAAAAAAAUAUGAUGACCACUUUAAGAUGGAUGAUGAUGAAAAUGAGUACCAGCUGUCUUUAAGAACAGUCGUAGGGGCUAGCGCAAAGGAUGAAUUGUGCAUUGUUGAAGCAGAGGCAAUGAAUGAUGAAGGUAGUUGGAUUAAGGUAACACUGAGGGCUUUGAAAACAUCGGAACAGCCAAGGGCUUCCCUUGGGCUCUGAAAUACCACCACCUGUGGCCUUGUGGGUGAAGUGUGGUUCAGGGCCCGUGUGUAUCAAUGGAUGGCACUUAGUAGCUGGGGAGGAAGAUGCAGAGUCAGAGAGACAGGAGGAUGUGAAACUCUUCAGAAUAUCUGGAAAGCGAUCCCGCCUGGAGGUGGUAGCAAGGUUCCGCAGAAAAAAGUAAAGUUGGCUGCUGCUGAAGAUGAUGAUGAUGAAGAUGAGAAGGAAACUGAGGACAAAUCUCCAGUGAAGAAAUCUAUACGAGACACUCUAGUCAAUCAUGCACAAAAAUCAAACCAGAAUGGAAAAGACUCCAAGUCACCAAUGUCAAGAAAAGGUCAAGAACCCUUCAAAAAAUAGGAAAAUACGCCUAAAACACCAGAAGAACCUAGUUCUGCAGAAGACAUUAAAGCAAAAAUGCAGCCAAGUAUAGCAAAAGGUGGUUCUCUUUCAAAGUGGAAGCCAAGAUAAUCAAUUAUGUGAAUGGCUUCUGGAUGACUGACAGGGGGCUGUUGAAGAUCUCUGGCAGGGCAGGAAGUCUCUUUAAGAAAAUAAACAGUUAAAAAUUUUCCAUCUUAUUUCCUAUCUCUAACAGUUGAUAUGUGGCAGUCCUUUUUAUAAUGCAGAAUGAGAACCUUCCCUACCGUGUUUGAUAAAUGCUGUCCAGGUUCCAUUAUCAAGAAUAUAUUGUCCAAAAUGCCCAUUUGUUUUAGACAAGGUCUUGCUCUGUCACCCAGACAGGAGUCAGUGGUGUGAUCACAGCUCACUGUAGCCUCAA